rnacentral:rRNA from 1 species
UAGGGAAUCUUCCGCAAUGGACGAAAGUCUGACGCAGCGACGCCGCGUGAAGGAUGAAGGCUUUAGGGUCGUAAACUUCUUUUGCGAGGGAGUAAUUUGUGAACGUACCUCGCGAAUAAGCACCGGCUAACUCCGUG